UCCAGAUCCUUCUACACCGACCAUCUAUUCUGUAUGUACUCAUCCUUAUCACUACCACCGCUUCAUCUCUCUCUAUUCUUAUUACACUCUCGAUUCUUCUUCUCACUUCUUCUCUAUUGAACCCGAUCGCUUCUAUCUCUACUUUUCUUCUUCAUCUCAGGCUUUAUAGAUUCGGGGUUGUGACGGCCAAAGGUUCUGCUUCACGCCUUCUACAUCUGUUGCUGUUCCUUUUUAAAGAAACACACGAAGCUUCUAUCCUGGGCUCCCUACACUGGCAACCACUGCCUGAUCCGUGCUUCCCACCGCUCCAUGUUAAUUUCUACAAUAUUUGUCGGUGACGAUGGGAAUAGAACGACGGCAAUCAUGAUGAUGAUGUACGAUCCGUCUUCGAGCCCUAAAUCUGUUGAAGGAUUACCUGUGAAUUUCUCGUUUGGACGUGUACGGAGACCACAAACGCACUGUCUUCCACCCUCUUUUUCUUUUAGUUUUGGUUUUCCUUCUUCACCUUUGUUUAUCUGGAAUUUCUUUGGAUUGAUUUCAAAUUUCGUCUUCUCUUUCUCCAGGUGUCGUCAUAACCUGUUUUUUCGAAAUCGAUUCUACCCAUUAAUGGCUUCUGAUUGUUAUUGGUGUUUGAUGCAGGUUCCGCUCAUGGUUUCUAAUUCCGUGUGUCCGACUUCUGAUUGUUUUCAAGUAACUUGAGUUUUAUUUUUCUCAUCUAAAUUCAUGUUAUUUAUCUUUUUUACUCUUCACCCAAGGUAAAUUUCUUGAUCUCACCAGAGAAAUCUAUAAUGUUAUUAGGAUUUUAAUCAAUUUUUUUAUUCUUCAAUUGUUUUUGGUUGUCUGGUAAGUGCAGGGGCGACAGAUACAUGGUUAGCUCUAAUUGUUGAAGUAUUAUUUUUUCCUAAUAUACUGAAAUUCCCUUUCCAUUUCUUCCUGUAAAUUGAAAAACAUUUUGAAAUAUCUAUCUAUUAACUUAUCAUUCACUUUGAAACUCAAAAAGAUAAAAUCGAUCAAUUUAUCAAUUUUGGGUUUUUUUAUUACCAGUUGCCCAUAGUGAAAAUAUCACUACAGUUGAAGAGAUUCAUACAUACGUUUUGAAACAAUUAAGUUGUUUCAUAGAACUGGACAAUCCUGUGUCAAUGGACUCUUCUAAUACAUCAAAAUCAUGUCAAUAUUGGGUUGUCAGUGGUUCUAUUUCAGGUUUUGAUAUCAUAAUAUCAUUAUCCAAGAUUCAGGUGAGAAUUAUAUAUCAUGUUUUAUUUUAAAUGUUUGAGAAGAUACAAGUUGAUGCUUAUAUGACAUAUGUUAUUAUGUCUCCAGAUGUUGCUUUCAAUUUCUAAAAUUUAUGGUUUCUCCACCAAAGAAAGAGUUGUAUGCAGCUAAGGAAAUUACGUAUAUACGGUACAAGAUGGUAUUUUUUGUUUCUUAUUGUAGUUCACAAGUUUAUUACCACAAAAUCCAUUGACAAAUUUCAGUCAAGUGGAUUUAUCUCAUAACAAUUGUGUGCUUAUUUAUUUGUUUCCAUUCUGCAUGUUUGGUUUCUAAUAAGUUGUUAUGAAUUUAUAGUUAUUCUUUAUUUUUUGUCUUCCUAAACAACUUUUAUAUAUUUUUUAUCAAGCAUGUCUGUUUUUCUAUUGUGAUCAGGCUUACAAACUUACCAAAUUUUCAUAGGUUUUGUAACUGAUAUAUAGUGAUUGUAUCUUUAUAAAUUAUAGAUGGAAUGUUGUGAAUAUAAAAUAUAGGUAAUUUGAUCUAAUUAAAAAAAAGAUUUAGUAGCUAAGAAAUAGUAUUUGUACAUAAAAGUUACAGAUGUCAAAGUGAAUAAUAGAUUAAGUCAACUUGAAUAACGUCUUAAAAUCAAUAAAAUGGGAAUGAAAUGGAUACAUUUUUAACCAAAUGAAUAUGGAUCCGAUUGUUCAAAUUAAGGUAUGAAAUUGUUUCUUCAUAUGCAUUUACUUUUGAUUCUUUCUGCUUUUCAUGUUGUCAUAUGGAUUUUUUUGUGGAUUUCCCCUGUUCUUGAUGACAACAUCCAUCAACAUAUGUUCCCUCUGGUGUAGAAGGAAAAUCAAUUUUUUUCACCAGAACUAAUAGAGGUUCAAGUCAAGUAAUAUCAUACGUCAUUUAGGAGGUCACAUAUGACAGCUUCAAAAUCGAUAUGAUAUUAUUUUUUUAGUUGUUAGAUAUACAUAUGUAUAUAUAAACUUGUAAUAAUAAUUUUCCCAUGAAAAAGGUCCUAGAUGACAAGUUGAAAUUUCACAUGACAAGGACUUCAUCUAGGACCCUGAAGCGAAGAAACCUGAGGGUUACGAUCACAUCCUAAAGGUGAUUUCAGAUUCUGAUUUGAAAGGGUACACUCUUUAAUUUCCAUUUCCGUAAUUCAUUUUUCAUUUUUAAGUUUUUAAUUAUAAUGAGCUAAAAUUGUAGUGAAAAGUUUGAGAUGAGGAGUAAGAUGGUGAGUGGACAGUUGCCUUAUUAGUUUGUUCGAUUUUACAAGGCAUGUAUAUUUCAAAUCCAUCAGUGUCACACGAAACGUUGCUGAAAACAUUGAAACUUCACGAGUUGAAACCAAGGACUUACAGAAUCAAUGUGAUCUUCCAAAUAUACCCUUUAUUAUGUAGUUUUGUAAUCUUUGUGGUGAUUAUUGUUGUAAUUUGUUAUGAAUUAGGUUGGGCAUUUUGUGCAUAUUCCAAAUAAGAUGAUGUGAUUUUCAAUUUUACCCUCAGCUACCAAUUGGGAAGCAAAGAAUGGAGGAGCUUGAAUUUAUAUAUGUUAUUUCACUAUCUCACUGUCUUAUUCUAAUCUUAUGAUAGCUUACUAGGCUCUUUUCAUUUAUGUAUAAGUUAUUAGACUCCAGUUUCUUAUUUGUGUAUUGUUUUUCUAUUACAAAUUGUAGGUCCAUCAACAGGUUAUUGAAAUUGUCACCGAUAUUGCUUCUACAACAUCAAAGUUGGCAUAAAAAAUGUUUUCUACUUUGCAUAUCAGGUAAUUUUUUUAGUUGUAAUUCUAAUUUCAUGAACGUGAAUGCAUUAUAUUCAUGGAUAUUCGUUCUUUUUCUUAUAAAAAUAAUUUUUUUUGUUACUAAUGGUGUGUAAUUUCUUUAUUUCCCAAUAACCACAUGUACUAUUGUAAUUGAUUUGUUUAUCAAUUCCUUAAAUUUUUAUUUCAAUUGAAUAGGGGUAUGACAUGAUAUGCAAUUUCCAUUUCAAGCUAAAUGAAAACAUAUGUAUUUUUUUAUAUCUAGGAAGACAGUAUUGAAAAUGUGGCACUGGAUUAAAUAAAACUUACAAGCAGCAUUAAUUAACACUUCUUUUAUCAUGUCAUGUGUCCAACUUAUAGUCGACACGGGCUAUUUUUGAAUGUUUGACUAUCAAUAACCUACCUAGCCUUAGCCAUUGCUUUAUUUAAUAUCCGAGAGGUAAUACUUUACUUUUUUUAAUAGGGUGUUGCUGCCGCACUUGCUAUUUACUUUGCAACGCAAAGGGGUCAUUAUAUCAUAGCAUACUACAACAUAUUUGUGUAUUUGUAAAUGGGAGAAACGUAGAAAAUAGCAACAUACUUUACUGUAGCUACCAAUUAGAACAAUGUACUAUACUUGCAUACAAAAGCGACACCUUCCGACCCCCGCAACGUGGGGGUCACCUUUCUAGUUCUAUUUAAACUAAUUAUUGUGUUAUUGUAUGCAUAGAUGUGUGGGCCACUCAUUUUACUUAAUUUAAGAAAGUGAUUAAUAUAUACUAGUAAAUUAAAGAUAAUUAAAAAACACCAUCUAAUUUCAUUCUGAGGGUAUUUUAGACAAUUAAGAUAAACUUGAAAAAGGAAAAUUCCAUAUUUUUUGGGAUAAUUAACUCUUGAUUUUAAAAUUCUAAUUUUUUUAAUUACUUUAAUUUUAAUUAUAACGUAAUUUUUAUAAUUAUACUCGAUUUUAUUCUGUUAGAAUUAUAUUCUCUACAAAUUUUAUGAUACAUAUUUCUAUUAGAAUGAUAUUCUAUGAGAAUGCCAACACCGACUAAUAACACAUUUUUGGAUACAACUUCAAUUUUUUCAUUACAUUCUUAAAAAUGUAAAAACUUUAUAUAAUAGUCUAUGACAAUAAAAUACUCACUAAUAACAAAUAAAAAUGUGUAUAUUAUUCGACCUGAAUAUUCUAGAAGAAUAUAUUAUUACACAUACUCCUAUCAUUCUAUUGAUUAUUCUAUCAGAAGAAUAACUCUUUCCUUGAUCAUCCAUGAAAUUAGACAUUUAACGAAAAUAACUGUCAUGAAUCAAAUCAUGUAAGAAUAAUAUUCUCUGAGAAUGCGUAGAAUCACUUUCAAAUUUGUGGUCCGUUCUUCAAGCAUUAACUUCUGUCAAAACAAAACCAAAUUGUAGUUUAGAUUCCAACAUAAUUGGAAUUCAUGAUUCCAUUCCAAUAGAAUUGGAAUUCAUGAUUUCAUUCCAACAGAAUCGGAAUUAUGUGCAUCAAUAGAAUAUGGCAAUUUGCGAAUAGGUUCACCAUCUCCAAUAUCCACAUUAAAAACUGAUUUACAAGUUUUUGUGGUAUCAGUACAAAAGAAUACAAAAAAAUAAGUCAAAAGUCAAAAGGCUGACCAUAAUCAUAUUGUACUCCAUCAAGAACUGGGCGCUUCAUGCCAUUGCCAUCAUCAGGCCCAUCAAUUACUUCCCCUAUCUGAAAUAGGAAAAAGAAAAUGCUGAUUAAUGAGAACUCACACCUAAUUAGAGUGACUCAAGUGAGUGAUUUUAUGGGGAAAUUGUUUGGAAUUCACUCUGUUCCAUGAUAAGUUUACAACAGAGGAACAAACCCCAUAAUAUUUCAUUCAUUAACAUUCAUUCAUUGAUUGAUUCUAAGCUUAAAAAUUUACCAAAGCGCAUAAUCUUCUCAUUGAACAAGCAAUUUUGAGUCACAUGCCACUAUCUUCACCCUUCCAACAUUUUCCUGACAUUCAUCAUACUUGAACAGAGCAUCUUGAAGAAUGAAUGUCCAUACAUUGUCACAGAAUCAGUACGUGUGCAAAUGCCCCUGUGUCAUUAUAUAAGCAAAAACAUCAGCAUCCAUACACCAAGGGUAUAAUCGUCAUUUAUUAGGUUCUUUCUUUUCGAAUGGGUUUUGCUUAAGCCAAAACCUGAGACUCAAAAUAUCAAGAAAUCAACUCUUUACCUUAUUUAACUUAUCUCAUGUUAAAAUUGAUGAACAUUAUGACAUUUGUUAAUUGGAAUGUAAAGAAUAUAAUGGUAAUUUUUUCAUGAAGCAUUACACUUUCUUUUCAACACAAGAAUUCAAGAGAUGGAAAUUAUUUACCUUAAUAAAGACCUUGGUCUUAACCUGAUUGUCCAGAGCUUCAACCAUUGACUACAACCAAUGAAACAUGAUAUCUCAUAGAUUAAAUAAUCAUCAAUAUACAUACUACCUUCACACUGAAUUAACACAUAGUUAAAAAAAAAGCUCUGAAGAGUUAAGAGACCUUAUCAAAUUGAACAAGAACUUGGAUAGCAAGCUUAGGACCGAGAAUCCCACUUGAUACCAUCUCAUCUAAAGUUUCAGUCAAACACAUUCCAAUUGUUGACCUACGAUACAACUCAAAUGUCACCAUUUGAUUUCUCUUCUUAAUCAACAACCUGUUAAAUCGAAUCUCAACAUAAUUAUCAUGUUGUAUAAAAUGAAAGAAAAAACUAAUUUCUCAUUUCUCAUCCAUCAAAAGGAAUAAAAAACUACUACUUUUACAGAAAUAUACACAAGUCCGCCAUAAAAUUCUGAACCUGAAUUAGAAAUUCACUCAUACACAAUAUGAAGUUCGUUCAUGCGUACUUCGAUUUGCAAAAUGACACAAAUUAAACAUGACAUUUGUAGUGUUAUGAUACGAAGCAACCGAGCUACCCUAUUCAAAGAAAAAAAAGCCAAAAAAAGGAAAGAAAAAACAAGCUAUUUUGUUCCAUUUCUAUUGAAAUCAAAGCCAAGGAUCCAAAAUAGAAAGAAGAUAGGGACAAGGAAUUACCGGAGCAAAUAACCCCUACUGUUGCCUUCGUCUUUCAUUCCUGAUCAACCAAAGAAGUCGACCCAAAUCAGAGAUGAAGGUCUGUCGGGGAUCGACUUCAGCCACCGAGAAUCGACAGCAGCUUGCUGCUUUGUUCUUCUUCAUCCUUCGGUCUAGCCAAACCCCCUAGGUCCUCACAUUUUCCUUUCCUUCGUUCUCGUCGACCCAGAGACUCAUCCCUCUUCGCAAAUCGAAAGACGAAGCGCACCUGCAAAAGGGGGGAAGAUUGAUCAGAUUAGUAGGUCGUUUAUAAAAGGGGGGAAUUAGGUUAAAAUCAAGUAACUAGUAAAAUUAUAGUAAGUAUUUGUGGAAGUUAUUUCUCAAAUUACCUUAGUUAUCCUUAUUGAUUUAUUUAAUUAUUAUUUUUUUUAUUAUUUGCAUACAAUAAUACAAUACUUAGUUAGAAUACCCGAACCUAUCUAUAUAUAUAUAUAUAUAUAUAUAUAUAUAUAUAUAUAUNNNNNNNNNNNNNNNNNNNNNNNNNNNNNNNNNNNNNNNNNNNNNNNNNNNNNNNNNNNNNNNNNNNNNNNNNNNNNNNNNNNNNNNNNNNNNNNNNNNUUCACGUUAAUUUGUAAUGUAUAUAAUUAAACUGUUGCCAUUUAAAAAUUAUACAAAUUUAAUUGAGAAUAUGGUUAUAUAAUGCUGAUAUAUGUGGGUCUAAGUAAAUUUACAUGUGAGUUUGAGAUAAAUUCACAUUCUAAUCUCACAGAUUCUUUCGUAAAUAAUCAGAAUGUUGAAAUAGUAUUAAUUGGAAAAUAAUAUACUCUGAUUUAUAUAUAAAUGUUAUUAUAUAUUCAAAUUCAAGUUUGAAUGUAAGUAAAUUUAUUUUAAAUCCAACUUAAUUAAUUUGUAAAUGAUUAAAGUAUUGAAAUAAUAAUUUAUAUUCAUAUUUAUAUUUUGAAUGCUUAUAUAAAUUUCAGAUUUACAAUUCAAUAAGAUCAAGGUGAAAAAAAAAACUAAAAUCUUUAUACAAUGAUAAUGAUAAGAAUNNNNNNNNNNNNNNNNNNNNNNNNNNNNNNNNNNNNNNNNNNNNNNNNNNNNNNNNNNNNNNNNNNNNNNNNNNNNNNNNNNNNNNNNNNNNNNNNNNNNNNNNNNNNNNNNNNNNNNNNNNNNNNNNNNNNNNNUAUAUAUAUAUAUAUAUAUAUAUAUAUAUAUAUUAAAGAAAACAACAACAACAAAAGAAAUGUAUUUUUUCCGAUGCAUAAACAUCCAACUAAGAAAUUUAUAACUUUUUUUUGACCGUCAAUCGUUAGAUUCUGACGAUCAUGUUUGAUUCAUCAGCUCUUUAUUUUUUAUUUUUUGAACGACAAGCUGACAUUAAAACCCAAAAUAAACUAGCCAGGGGCUAAGAGGUACAAAACAAGGAAAAACAUUCUAAAUAAAAGAAACAAACAAAGCUAACAAAAGAACAGUCAAGUUAUAGUCUACAGUAACAUUCUAAAAUCGGAUCAUAACUCCAUUCACUCCAUCUUAGCACCUGUCUUUUUCUAUUCCUUGCAUUGAUCCAAAGAAGUGAUAACAAUUAUACCUAAUAAACCAGCGCCAUGUGUGGUUUUGGAUUUAGGUUUGAAGAACGGGCUUUAGAGUUCCUGUAUCUCCAAAUCACCCAAAGAAAUACCAACAUUAUACCCUCAUGAAUAUUUGCCAGCAUAUGGUGACCCCCGAGCCUUGCUUUACAUUCUAACAAAUCACAUAACGAGUUUAGAGGAUAGUCGAACAGCCGCCACCAUGUACAUACUUGUUGCCAUACUUCAUGUGAUAUUGGGCCAUCCAUGAACACGUGGAGGGGAACAAAGGAUAAGAAAAAGGGUCACCAUUAAUAGGGCAAGGUACUACUUGGCUACUUGCAUAUACUUGGGACUACAAAUCCACCUUUCGUUAUCGUUUCUUUUUCUUGAUGUUGUAGUUAAAUCAUAAAUGCGUGCGAAAUGAAAGAUAUGGACGGACGCCAAAAGACAAAAUAUUGCAAGUUGUAUUUUACAAAGGCCAAAUAUGGUCCUAUUUUAUUUAGACAAAAAAAAAAUUGUCUUUAUGGUUUUUAUUUUUUCUGUGUUUUGGUAUUUAUUAUUUCAAAAUUACAAAUUUCAUCGUUUUCAAAAUGUUUUAUUUUAGAUUUGGUCCCUUCAAAAACAUAAAUAACUAUUAUAUCUUUGAUAUAUUUAUUUCUCAUUAAUUUUUAUUUUUAAACUCUAUUUUUUUAUAAAAUUCAGAAAAAGGACCACACACUUAUUAUCCCUAUCACCCGCACCACCGCCUCUAACCCUAACCAGCAAAUCAGAUUCAAGCUCUCUAUCUCUUAUUUUUCUUCCUACAUAUUAACAUGUCAUUAACAACUUCGACGAGACCACAAUUUUGACGAGAUUGGAUCAUUGACAAACACCACAUGCCGUCGUCAUUGUUGCCCCAAAGUCACCAACACAACUUCUGCCUUCAAGCCACCACUAGAUCUAGAUCUACUGCAAUUGUCGCCCCGAAGUCAGCAUUGCCACAAUGCCAUAAAGACACCACCAUCAGAUCCAAAUCUAUUGCCACUGCCUCCGUCCUAAAGCCAACACUGUCACAAUGCCCUAGAGCCACCACCACUACAAUCAACAAGCAUAUCUGGCCAAGAGGGGAACAAGAAGGAGUAAAAAGAAAACAUCAUAGAGAGCACCGUCAUAACCCUGAGCCCUCUACAAAACUGAAAAUGACGGCGAAGACGGUUUCUGGAGGAGAAGGAGAGGUGAAGUAAAUGGUGGUUUAUGGGUUUUCAGUGGGUUCCAUAGUCGAAGGUGGUUUCGGAGGCGGUCUGAAAGUUCUCUAUUCUUCCUUUACAAUGGUGGGUUGCGGUCUAGUAGUGGUAGGCUAAGGUCUAGAGGAUUAGAGUUCUAUAUUCUUUAACUUUCAACUGAUAGAAGAGAUUGAGGUAGUGUUUGUUUUUUCAAAGCAAAAAUUCAAGAAGUCUACGGACCACCUCUGUAACCCCUGCAGUAGAAGAAGUGGACAAAACGGCUGCAAACUAUAAUAAGAAGCAUGUUUGUUUUUUAACCUAUGCAGACUGCUGCAAUAAACUCAAAUUUAAAUAACCUAAUUUUACAAAACUAAAAUAGUUAUUUAAAACAAAAUAUUUAAUAAUUUUAGUCUUGCAACAUUGAAAUAAAAUGCAUUACAUUUUUUAUAUAAAAACACUCAAUACUAUUAAAUACUAUUAAAUACUAUUUACAAAUUAAAUGAAUAAAACUUAAAAUUACAUUUUUUUAGCUAAAUAACGUCCUUAUGAAUUGCUUCAAAUUGCUCUUGAUUUGGAGCUCCUUCACAAAAACUUGAUUCAAGCACUUUGAGCAACAUUCUCUUGGCUCCUCUUUGCUUUUGCUUCACCUGAUUCACAAACACAAAUAUGAUUUCAAAGAGCAUAAAUACAUCAUAUCAACAUACUUUUGAUUACAAGAAUAUACCAUUUGACAAUUUUCAUUUGUUACUAAAUAUGUGCAAGAAAAAUUGAAAUGCAAUUAAAUUAAAUUUCAAUGUUCUCUCAAGCAUUUCAUGGAGCACAUGUAGUGUACAACUUGAUUCCCUCUUAAAUUACUACUACUAGAUGUAUAUUAUCCAUCUCAGUCUUUAGGCAUCCAAUUCAACGAAAAAAGGAAACAUAUACAUGGUUGGAAGCAAAUCAAAAUAACAAAAAUCAGACUUUUCAUUGACAUGCAUCAAAUCAACAUAAACUUGCAAGAAAAUCAGAAAAUCAGCAUUAACUUGACAGCAUAAACAUAUAAAUGUUGAUGAUUUCAAGAAGAAAAUCAGAAAAACAAUUGAAUGCAUGAACAUAUAAUAACAAUUGAUUUCAUAAACAUAUAAAUGUUGUUGAAAAGAACAAUUGAUUUCAACAAUAGUUGUUGAUUUCAAGAACUAAAUCAGAAGAAGAAACAUACAUGUUGGAGAAACGAUGGGAUAUGGGAGCAACGAACAUAAAAUCGGCAAGGUUGGAGCAUAAAAUCGGCUAGGGAAGAGCAGCCAUGGCGACCGAUGACGUGCGAGUUGUUGUGAUGACUCGAUGGGAAACGAAGAACAACGGGAAAUAGAAUGAGCGACAUUUUUUUUUCAAUUUUAUGUCCGGUUAUUUUUUUUUUCUUUUAGGUUUAGGUUAAGAAGACGUGAGAAGAGGCAAUGCCGGUGCUGUAUUGGGCAGAGCAUGGAAGCCGUUUAAAAAAUAAACUACUGCGAAAUUAAAAGUGUUGCGCGCGUGCUGCGCCACGCAGCAAUAAGUGGUAAGAAUAUGUUUUUUAUAAAAAAAACAAACAGCACCCAAGUGAUUAUAAUGUAGUUUAUGCGUAGAAACCCUCACAUGUUAAUUGCCUUCUUGGGUAUAGAAGGAAGCAAAAAUUAUUAAUAUAAAUAUUGUGAAGUAUAAGUUACAUUAUAAAAUUACAUUCAAAAGGAAACACACUUUACACGAAAAGUCGUACAUUAUGCACCUUUGUGUGUACCUAAAAUUAUUCCACCUUAAAAAUAUAUAUAUAUAUAUAUNAGAGAGAGAGAGAUAAUAAGUUACUGGGGUGGCUGCGUGCGUCUUUUUCUAUAUUUAAUAUUAUAUAACUUUUGUACAAAAUACAAAUGUAAAAAAAAACAGAGAAUAUAUGAAUUUGGCUUCAUGGAUUUAAAUGUAUUUAGAUAAUUGAUGCUUUCAUUUUUAGUAUAUAAAUUAGUAUAAAGUAAUUUAUUUUGUUUGUUUAAUUUGAAUAUGGUUAAAACAGAGAAAACUUAUUUUAGAUUUCAUAAAAAGUAAAAAGUAAAUUUUUGAUAAAUUAUUUUUUAGCCAAUAGUUGUCGGUGCUAGAGUUGGUGUUAUUGAUGAACUCUUCACCAGAGGUUUCCUCGGCAACGACGGUACGUCAUUGUUCUAUUUUACGCGCUUAUUUUCUGUUUGGUGUGUGACUAUUUUACAAGGAUUUUGUUAUUUAAUUUAUUGAUUAUCACAUAGUCAUAGAGUGGUGUGCUUCAUAACAAUUAGUGUUUGAGAAAAUGAAAUUAAGGUUGGAUUAUUGUAUAUAAUGUGUUUGGAGAUAAUCAUAGAUCACUCCAUGGUUUUGAAUAGGAAUCGGGGAAAAACAUUAUGUAGAUUGUUUAAUUUGCUCCACAUUAAUAGUCCACUCUGGAUUGAAUAUACAAAGUGUUGAUUGAUGUUCUUUUAUUGCAUUGCAACUUUAUUAUAAUUUGUUGCUUGUUGUUUAUUUAGGUAGAAACAUUAUUCUCUUCUAAGAGUACACUCUUUUGUUUGUAUAAAAUAACAUGAGGAGCAAUCAAUGGUUAGUUGUGUUAACCCACUAAUUCUGAACCCAUCCGUGUCAGAUCCUUUCAGAACUAUUCCACCCAAUUCGACUGGUCAACCUACAAUUCCUACCCCACCUACUCCACCUGUUUCAAAUCAUUUAGAAAAUCAUGAUCUCGAUCUAGCCGAAUCAAAACUUUGUUUUCAACAAGAAUUCACACUAUUAUCCAUGAAGUACAAUACUCCCUGGAAUCCUUGUCAUAAUUGUUAUCAGAACCAGUUUCAAGCCCCUCACCAAAAUAAUCCUUAACCAUUUCCUAAACCUUAAAAAAAAUCGACCUAUAUACCGACUCAACAUCUCAAGUCACUUGUCGGAAUCCCAAUAAAUCCCAAAACCACACAAGCCCAAGAUAAUUUGUCUUAAGUGUGGUCUUGGUAACCAUUUUGCCAAAGACUGUUUGGCUUAAACCUCUCAGAAACCAAAGGUAAAAGAUUCUGCAUAUUAUGCUUACAAAGCCCAAGAGCUAGCAGCAAGUAAGAAAGCUAUUGUUACCAUUGUGUCAAGAGAUGUUCAAGGGUAGUAGUCUUCUGGAGAUGAGGAUGGAGUGAGAACCAGAAGGAAUAUGUGUCUUAUGGCAAGAUAGUCGAUCGAAUGUGAUGAAGGAUAAUUGUCUUCAGGAUCAGAAGAAGACGAUGACGAUGUUAAGCCAAACUUUUGCUACAUGGUAACUAAUGAUCCAACCAGCAGAAGCAUCAUCCAACAGGUAAGAUCUAUGAUCACUGAAAAUAAUAUUCAUUUAUUUUUUUGUGAACCAUAUCUAACCUAGAUCUAAUUAGAUAUGAUAGUCAUUCAUAAAGCCUAUGAGUCUACCAUACAAGUAAGUGAGAAGCUGCAUAGUGAACUGACUCGCCUUAGAUUAUGCUUUGAAGAUCGCAAGGUUAAGAUAGAAUCACUAGAAAGAGAGCUUGUAAUGUCUAACAAUGAAUGUAUCGUUUUAAAAGACAAAUGUGAAAUCACUUUUUGUGAAAGGAAUAUAUUAGUUUAUGAUAACAAUCUUCUUAAUGCCAAAGUUAAUGCUUUGCAUAACUCAAUUGACAUUCUUGAAGAAAAUGAAUGGAUGAUACAUAAUUUUCGUCACCCAUGGUCCAAAGCACCAGGCCUCGGAAGCGAGUUUCUAAAACCUGUUGCUCGUCCCUUGAAGGAGUUGCAAAAUCUAACGUUUAUGGGAGAUGUUCCAAACCGCACUCAUUCGGAUACCCCUGUCUCACCAUUGUCACCCGUUCCUAAGACUUAGGACCAAUUCUAAUCUCUGAUUCAGGAGUUCCAACCUAUCAUUGUCAAAUGUAAUGAUUCCACUCCUUUUUCGCCUCUCAUACCCCUAAACUUGAAUAAGUCUUCAGAAUCAUUCCCUGAUAUCAAUUGUACCGAAGUUCAAAUUCUGAACUCUGGUCCACCGAACAAAUAUGUUAUUGAGGAAAUAAUUCACAAGACAACUGGACAUGACUCUGAUAAAUCCGACUUCGUUUUGGCAUCAUUUGAUAGUGACGUUGAUGAAUAAAUUGUAUGUGACGAUUCAUAUGACUCUUAUAUCUCUAACUCUGAUGUGAUCUCGAAAACAACUCUAGUGCCAAUUACACCCAAGUUCGACAAUCCAUCGUCUGGACAAACUUCCAUGUCAUCAUCUGACUCUAGGAAGAUACCUUGGUUAAAUAAGAAAGAUGUUGUCCACCUUAAGACCGAAGCUAAAAACGCCCUUAAGAAAGAAAUUAGGUCAAGGCAAGAUUCCAGAUUCAUUCAUAAAUCCGAAAAGAAAGUGUCUCGAACAAUUAGUCCAACCACUAGGAACCACAAUACCUUUAUGCCUGUUAAAUUCUUAAUAGGUCAUCCAACCCUCCUAGUUCGGUUGCUCAAAACAAAUUUGUCAGUCUUAAUCCGAAAAAGGUCACUGUUGAGUAUCCUUUUGUGUAAACUGACUCUCCUCAGACAGUUUAUUAUGUGUUUAUUUCUAAAUCUGAUGGCACGAUUUUCAAACCAAAGAAACUUCCAAAACCAAACGUGCUUCAAUAAUAGCAAGAAAAGAACAGGUUGGCGAGAACACUAUUGUUCAAAAAUCCUCAAAAGAUUCAAAACUAAAGUUUGAGUGGAAAGUAAAAAAGGUUGAAAAUACAUCUGUAACUUCUGUCAAUAGAGUGAUUCCUAUAACAUCUUAAAAAACUAUUUGUCCAAGAAAAGCAGUAUCCAAACAACCUUUGGUUGAAUACGACUUUUGGAUAAAUGAAAAGACCUUGGCAUUUUGCUUCUUUCCCAAAAGUAUCUCGAAACAAGCCCUCCGAGAUGCUAGUUGCUUAAAAGUCACAAUCCAAGUCUAAAGCCCUUGCCAAAGUCCCUAAGCCUAACUCAGAGCCUAAAAACUCCAAAAAUCAUUGCUUUUGUAGGGCACUCUAUGCUUCGGAAAGAGAUACAAUAUUGUAUAUUUAUAGUGCUUGUUCCAUGCACAUGAGUAGGCAGAAAGACUUUUUGCAUGAUCUUAAGCUUACUCCUAACGCUGGUUACGUGACAAUGGCAAUAACUCAAAUUCACAAAUUAAAGGUUAUGGCAUCCUGAACAAUGAAAAUCUCUCUAUCUCCAAUGUGGCCUAUGUAGCUGAUCUCAAACAUAAUCUCACUAGUGUAGCUCAACUCAUUGAUGCAAACCGAAGAGUUGAAUUCUACAAAAAGCGUAGCUACAUCAUGACAGAAGACUGGAAAUAAUGUUUAAUCAAAUCAGAUUGCAUCAAAAACAUGUAUCCAUUAUACAUUAACAUGAUCAUUGGAAAACCUCAAAUUUGUUUUCUCUCAAAGGCCAUUCCUAAGGUUAGUUGGCUAUGGCAUUGAAGGCUCGCUCAUCUCAACUUCUGAUACAUGAAUGAUUUUGUUUCUGGUGAAAUGGUCUGAGGUCUGCCACUUCUAAAAUUUGAAAAUGAUCAUCUAUUUGUUGCAUGUGAAUGUGGGAAGCAAUCCAAAAAAGGUCAUCCUGUAAUCAUUGAAAAUUCAAUUUUGGAACCAUUAGAACUUCUUCAUAUUGAUCUUUGUGGACCCUCCAUCGUAGAAAGUAUACAUCACAAAAACUACAUUCUUGUGAUUGUUGAUGACUAGACAAGGUUCACUUGGAUCUUCUUUCUUAGGCUAAAAUCUAAAACACCCUCGAAACUUAUUAAGUUCAUCAAAGAAAUUGAAGUUCUUGUCAAACUUCCUAUUAGAAGAAUCCGAAGUGAAAAUGGCUCGGAAUUCACUAAUGUCACCAUUGAGAAAUUCCUCUCUAACAAAGCAACCGACAAUAAUUUCUCUGCUCCCUACACUCCUCAACAAAACAAUGUGGUUGAAAGAAGGAACCAAACUCUUGUUGAAACCACUCGAUCAUUGCUGAAAUUUGAAAAUCUUCCUCUAUAUCUUUGGGCUGAAGUUGUGUCCACUGCGUGCUUCACUCAAAACCGAAACAUCAUUAACCAUUGUCUAAACAUGACACCGUAUGAAGCCAUGAAUGCUCGCAAGUCGAGUAUCUCAUUCUUUCAUGUUUUCGGAUUCAAAUGCUUUAUCAAACACAACCAUGAUCAACUCACCAAGUUUCAACCCAAAGCCGAUGAAGCAAUCUUUCUAGGAUACUCAGCCAAAUCCAAAGCCUACAGAGUUAUGAAUUGUCAAACUCUCAUACUUGAAGAAAGCUUUGAUGUCACUUUUGAUGAAAACUUUGUUCGUAAUUCUGGCCCAACUCAUAUUAUAAACCACAUCAUGGAAUCCAAAGCUCCACCACUAGGAUCUCAAAAUUCCCAUAUCAUCUAUUGACUUGACUUCGAAAGCCUAUUCGAACCAUUAGAAACCGCUCUUCAUUCAAAAUCUCAAUCAAGACUGUCCUCAUCAACUGAACCACCAAUUUCUUAAAACGUUUCUGGUCCGACACCUACAUUUCCUCCAUUUGAUUCUAAUCUAAUUCAACCUUCUUAGGUUGAGGAGAGAAUGGUUAUCCUUCCAUCAAAUCACAUGUUGAUGGAUUUUAAGAUGCAGCAGAUCAAUUUAGUGAAUUUGAUCCCAUUUCGAACAAAAACGAAUAUGAUGCUAACUUCUUUGACUUUCCGAAUGAUGACAACGUCAACAUGUGCAGUUCAGAAGUUUAGGGGGAGUAUCAUCCUCAAAUUCAAAUUAUUCUGGGGGAGCAACCCAACACAGUUGUUGAUAUCAGAUCAUCCGCUACAUAAGAACUUCUGAGAUUACACAUAUGGACAAAGGGUCAUACUCCAAAUCAAGUCAUCAGAAAUCUCAACUCUGGUGUUCAAACUCGUUCUACUACCAACAUCAAAAAUAAGUGUCACUUAUCGGCAUUCAUUUUAAUGGUUGAACCAAAAUCCAUCAAGGAAGCUUUAGAAUAUGCUGAGUGGAUUACAGCCAUGCUAGAAGAGUUACCAGAAUUUGACAGAAAUGAAGUGUGGACCCACAUCCUUCCUCCUCAGGAUCACCCUAUUGUUGGCACAAGAUGGGUCUUCUGAAACAAGCUUGAUGACGCUAGAGUUAUUUUCAGAAGCAAAGCAAGAUUGGUGGAAAAGGGAUUCAGUCAUAUUGAAGGACUUGAUUACGACGAGACUUUCGCUCCUGUUGCUCAUCUUGAAGCCAUCCGAAUCUUUCUUGCUUAUGCAGCUCACAAAGUCUUUAAAGUUUACCAAAUGGACGUUAAAUUUCCUUUCUCAACGGUGAACUGGAUACCAAAAUGUAUCUUUAAUAGCCCCUAGUUUUGUCAAUCUUGUUAACAUCCCAAUAAUCACAUCAAAUUUAAACUUUUAGAAACAACCCAUAGUCAUAAAAUGUUUACGAAAUCAUUGUUUCCAAAUCUUUUAUCCAUAUGAGAGUAUCCUAAAAUCAUAAAUCCAUGAACAGAGGAUGUGUACCUUCACGCCUUCGCCUUCCCGCAAUCAUCAGAAGAACCUAAAACAACAACUAAAAACCAUAAGCCAAAGCUUAGUGAGUUCCCUCGAAGUACCACCACAUACAACAUAUGAAACAACAACAUGCAUAGCUGAGCCUUUAUCCUGACCGGACAUAGGGCCUACAGCCUACCUGGACCGCUCCCGAGCCUUCGGCAAGACUGGACCACCUCGUAGGGCCUACAACCUAUCCGGACCGCUGGCCGGGCCUUCCGCCUGACCAGACUGCCUCGCAGGGCCUAAAGGCUAUCGGGACCGCCCUAGGUAUCUUGGCUUUCAGCACAAAGCAGAACCGCCUCAACCCAACCAACCAUAACAUGUCAACAUACAUAUAACAAAUAAACAUAUAACCAAGCAUCAGAAAAACAUGCAUAUUUAGAGAUCGCUACCGCAUGCCAACAUCCUAUAUACCAGGAUACCAAUCUAACAGAUCUCUACAACACAACAACAUACUGUCAUGUAACAGGAUAUACAAUCCAUUAGGCCGGAAUUGAUUGCUUCGACCCGUAAGUACAUUGAAGAAGACUCAUCUCACAACCUGAUGAAGGAAAAUAGUCAAUACUUUGAUCCCGAAUACCGGCUCCACACAAGUCCUAAGUGUCCAAACAUUUACUAUUAAUAAAAUAAUCAUAAUUUCCUAAGUUAACCUUUGUCAAAAUUGGUCAAAGCUAACAAGUCAACUGAGUCAACUCAGUCGAGUCGACACACAACGCAUAUGUGGGGCGUACUCCGAAGGUAUGUUGGGCGUACUUAAGCCUUGACCGCAGUCAGGAUGGUUGACCUCGUACGUGCUGUAUUGUAACACCCAAAGUUUUGAAGGCCAAGAAAGGAAAGAAAACCCUAAGUUUAGGGGUCGACUCGGCGAGUCCAAAGGGGGGACUCGGCGAGUCCGAGCGGGAUCNNNNNNNNNNNNCGCGGGGGGUCGGAGCGGGAUCUGGGCCGAGGAGUAAGUGACCGACUCGGCGAGUAGGCCAAGGUGACUCGGCGAGUCUGGUCUGUGCGUGGAAAACCCUAAAUUCGGGACUUGGAGCCUAUAUAAACGUCUUAAUCUUCUUCCUAGGGUUCCCUUACUGCCUCUUCAACCCUGGAUACCAAACCCUAGCCGUCAUAACCUUGAUUGAGCCAUUUGUUGCCUUGGAAGGUGCAUCAAAGCUUGGGGAAGGAAGAAGGAACUUGGAGGAGCAAGAAGGGACUAUAGAUCUGGAGUUUAUGGAGCCUUUCUGAGAUAUUGAAGGUAUUAAGUCGUCCCUCUCUCCUUUAGGUCUUCCAUGGUUGUGAGAUUUGGGGCUUUUAAGCCAUGGUUUGACACCCAUUUGAGUUAGAAGCCGGAUCUGGAGUUGCUACUUCAGAUCCAAGUGUGUUAUGGACUAGAGAAGCAUAAAGUAUCAGCCCUUGAGUCAAUGUUGAAGCCCCUUGGCCUUAAACCCUAGUUUAUGGUGUAUUUUGCUUAGAUCUCCUUCUCUACACGUAAAGUUUGCAACUUUACGUGAGGAAUAGGCUUGGGAAGGGUAGAUCUACAGAUUUGAGUCCCUGCAUGACUCAAAAGUCCUCUGCAUGUAUGAAGGACCGGAUGGACUCGGCGAGUCCUUUGAGUGGACUCGGCGAGUAGCUUGAAGAUGAGGAGGAACUCGACGAGUGGGAUGAACAGCUCGUCGAGUCGGAUGAAGUUGGGCAUGAACUCGGCGAGUUGGAAGAACAACUCGGCGAGUUGGAUGAAGAUUGUCUUGGACUCGGCGAGUCUGUUCUUGGACUCGGCGAGUCAAGUCGCGAAACCCCAAACCCUUCGAGUUUAGACUCGAAUCAGUGAGUCGAUUAGAGACUCGGUGAGUUGGACAGGUCAGGACUCGGAAAUCGGUAGACUCGGCGAGUCAUGGACUGACUCGGCGAGUAGAGUCGCGAGUGGAAGGACUCUGGACUUAUGAACUCGGCGAGUCAGUAGGGUGACUCGACGAGUAGGGUUGACCUGGAAGGUUGACUUUGACCAGGACUUUGACUUUGACCUGAGUUGACUUGGUUGUCUUUCGGGGGUCAGUUAGACUCAGUGUUGCUUUGACAUUGGUAGCUCGGGGAGCUAGUGGAGCAGGAGUUCAGAGAGUUGUCGGUCAGCAGCCAGAGGAUUAUCAGCAGAGUUCAGCAGUGCGAGGUGAGUCUCCUCACUGUUUGUAUGGGUCUAAGGCACCAAUGCCGGCCCAUUUAGAAUAUGCAUGAAAGACCAGGGGGCGGCUCCUGGCACACAGUACGUUAUUAUGUAUGAUAGGAAGACCCGAGGGUUAGCCCUAGGCAAUAUGCAUGAAAGACCAGGGGGUGGCUCCUGGCACACAGUAUGUUAUUAUGGACGACAAGAAGACCCGGGGGUUAGCCCUAGGCAAUAUGUAUGAAAGACCAGGAGGUGGCUCCUGGCGCAUGGUAUGUUAUUAUAUAUGAAAGACCAGGAGGUGGCUUCUGGCACAUUGUAUGUUGUUUAGCUAAGUAGAGUAGUAUGUACGGUUGUCUUUGUGAUACUUGCAUAAAAGACCAGGGGUGGCCCUUUGCACAUAUCCGUAAGACCAGGGGGUGGCCCUUAACACUUGUCUGUAAGACCCAAGGAGCGGCCCAGGCUUGACCAAGAAGACAACGCGCGGCCCGUGGCAAAUGGCAAGACUAUGUUUGGCACAUAACACCUUAUUUGAUUAUGGAUAAGUCGGUUAUGUAUAGCUCUUGGCUAUGAAUGGUUUGUAUGGUAUGUGGUAUCUGGGGAACUCACUAAACUUCGUGCUUACGGUUUUCAGUUUUGGUUUCAGGUACUUCCGGUAGCGGAUAAUGGAGCUCGGGAUGAUCGCAUGGCACACACCAUAGAUUAGUCAGCCUGGGAAUGUUUUACUCUGAUAAUGAACGUGUGUUUUGAAAACUGAUACUCUGUUUAUGUUUUGAAAUGAUGAUUUUACUUUAAGUAAUAUUUUAUUAAAAGAAAUUUUUAGUCUUAAAUUUUGGGACGUUACAUGUAUACUCCAGGUACACAGGGUGUAUGCCCAGACCUCUCAAAAUCUCCAUUAAGAGCUUAAGGCCUUAAGUUCCCACGUCCAUCUUUUAGAUCCAAGGCCAAAAGACUGCUAAGAGUCAUAAAGUUACCAAAUUUAUGGCUUUGCAUGUCCAUUAAGUGCUUAACUCAACAUCUUAAUGUAUUAAGACCUUCUAAGGAAUGCAUGGGGUGAAACUAACCCCCAAUACUACAUUUUUAUGACUUAAGACACCUCCAAAGGUCUGAAGGAUGACUUACUGAGUCAAGAACAUGCUAUGCUCAAGAAACACCACAUUCGGGACAAAAAGAACCUAAAAUCAUUCCCAAAACAAGAUCUAAAUGAAAUUUCACCAAGUUCAGAACUUUAUACCUCCAAGUGAUGUCAAAUGAUGGUGUGUUUCUAUAUCUAAAGUGCUUCACUCCUCCAUUAUGGUCUCUACUUCCUUCCUUCUUCUUCAAAGGCACAAAAGAUACACACAAGCUUAGAAACGUUUCACAAGGUGGAUUAGGGUUGCAAGGAUGUUUGAAUGGAUGGAGUCUGAUGGAAUGAGCCAAGCUUGGGAGUUAAUGAUGAAUAAAUAGGGUCCAAACCCUAAAGAUUAGAUUUUGGGACUUCACCGCAUACGCCUUGCGUACACAAUGCGUACGCGGCUUCGCCCCAAUAAUCCUAAAUUGGCAACAACAACCCCUCCCAUCCACAAGUCUUACAUUAUAAAGACCAAAAUGCAAUAAAUCUCAAUAUAAGGGUCAAAAAUGAAAUACCUCAAAACACGAUGUUACAAUUAUCCCCCACUUGACUUAGACUUUGUCCUCGAAGUCUGCUGCAAUGAAUAACUCAUGGAAAUGCUCCCUCAUCUUCACCUUCGUCGCCGGCUCCUAGGUCCACUUAGAGCCUCUCUGAUGCUGCCACUGAACCCUUACCAAAGGUAUCUCCUUGUUGCGCAGGGCCUUCAUCUUUCUUUCCAAAAAAGCCACCGGUCUCACAAUAAAAUUCAGGUGCUCAUCGACCUAAAUAUCAUCCAAAGGAAUCACUUUCUUGUUGUCCAACACAAUUCCAACAUCUUUGGCAUUUGUGAGUGAUUCGCAUGUAACACAUACCUCCCUGCCUCCAUUGAAAAGACGAAGAUAUGAUCCAAGGCCGGGAGUACUAAUUUAGGAACUGACCUCACUCGUUCAGCCUACAAUCACUACAUCAACUACUACUCCAACCAUUUCAACUGCUCCUGACCUUGAAGGACCAAGAAUCACUUUUGAAGACGGAGGCUUUGCAGCCCCUGGAGGUUCCUUCCCACCAAGGCCUUAGCAUGAUAUCUCCUUUGUGAGACUUGCAAGGGCCUUUGCAGCACAAGAAGCAUCUUGUUUUCCUCCUCGUGGUAAAGGCAUAUCAAUCGAGGAAGGCAACUCAGAGGGAAAGGAACCUUCCAAUUUAGAGCUCACGGUCGAGAUGGGAAUUCUAAAGCAAACAAUCAUUGAGAAUGACGUAUUGAUAGGUAAACUUGAAGUUCGUCUUUCAGAUGUUGAAGCCGACAAUGAAGCCAAGACAAAGAAAAUAUCCGACCUUCAAAAUCACCUUCGAGCGCUGACUGCAUGCUACUAUGACUUAAAGAACAAACUUUAUGAAGAAUUUGGUGAUAAGUUCAAGUCAUCUGUUGAUCUGUUUGCAGCAUCCCAAGAUCUUCCCAAUGCUCUAGUCCAGCCUUUCAUAAAUGACAAUCUGUGGAUCAUACGCCUCCCAAAACCACACGAAUUGUCGAUCGAUUUGAAACUGAGCCUGUGAAUGCCAACACACGAAUCACUAUCAAGCAUGCCAAGAGAAAGGUCACUGCUGACAAGAAACGAGGAUUACUCUUAAUGAGGAACUCUGAUGAGAACCGGAGUGGAGACCAGCAUCAGCUCACAUUGACUAAUCUUAAAAAACGAAAGUUUGGUGAUAAGUUUGGGAAUCGAUCGGGAAUCAGGAUGUGGGGGUAUCAUGCUGAUUUAAAUAUGUGGUUGGUGAAAAGAAAAUUUGGCGCUCCUGAAUAUUACAAAGAUGCACAUGAUUUUUGUUCCUGGACAAAAUUUGAUCUUACAGAGCUCUCAAAUACUCAAUUCCACAAUCCCUCCAAGGAUCCUCAGGCUACAAACUUCAAACUCUUUCUGGAGAAACAGGUGAAAGAGAAUUUUACUGGGAUGAUGACCACAUAAUCUCUAGUCAGAAAAGUCAAGGAUCUACUAGAUCCUCAUACCAAUGAGCCUAUGAAUAUAGUGUUGUGGCCUGCUACUAAAUAGAUAAAAGAAAUUCCAAUUUCUCAACAUUUUCACGAUGGAUAUCUAGAUCAAAUGGAAUUCUGGGCCUUUGAUGAGGCCACAGCCACUGCAGUUAUCAAGUUUCGCGACAAGGAAUCUGUCCUUCGACUUGUUGAAGCUAAAGAUCUUCUAAGGUCCAGGGAAAGGGAUAUUCACACCUUGGCAAAACAUCAAAUAAUCUGCAAAAACAAAGUCAUGGAGGCAGCUGCUAAGGAAUACACUGGAAUGAUUGCAAAGAUAAUUGAUAACAUGCUUUGGAUGGGAGCAAUAGGAAGAUCACACCAAGGGGGAGAUUGAUAGGUCCCUAUUUUGUGGUUUGGGCUAGACAAUCUUUUGUAUAGGUCUUGAUAGGCUCUUGGUCAGGUUAUAGGUGUUCUGUAGAUUAUUAAAGGUGCUUACGGAUGAGUUGGUGUUUACGACCGUAAACAGUUUUACAGUCGUGAACGUGUUUACAGCCAGUCAGUUCCCUAUAUAAGGGUGUGUUAGUUUUGUGUCAGUAGUAGUUGUCAGUGACAUAUCAUUCGUGUUUACGGUCAAACUGUGUGUAACUCAAGGUGUAGAUUUUGUGAAUGAACGUGUGCAUUGCUUGAUCAUCUUGUUCUUCUACUCUUUCUUGCUAUUGUUUGUUUUGAUCACUAGUUUGAUUCACUCAGAUUUGGGACCUUACACACCCCAUCUGCGCGACCAUGUUUCCCAACCCGCGCAUGGUUGUGCGGACUACCUAUGCGACCUUGCCCGAUCAAGACCAAUUUCUUGAUAAUUUAGAUGUUAAUUUUUGUUCGUGCAUGACCCACACACUACCAUUGACCCACUUUACUCGAUUUUGACCAUCCAUUGACCAGAUUUUUAAGUGGGUUGACUUGUUGACUUUCUUGACCAAUUGAAUUAAGUGAAUGCAAUUCUUUUUCUUCCUCAAACCAAUAAACAUGUUCUUCCUCCAUCUAAUCAUUUUCCCUUUCAAGAACAUAACCCACCAAACACUCAUCUCGCUGGAAAAAACCAUUUUCCCGUUGAACCCCAGGUCGGAAUUCAAUGAAAUUGCGCCAUUUUCUUCCAUAUUAUGAGGUCUACGAACUCCACUAAAAACAUUUCUGAUAUGUUACCGGAAGAAUGGGUGUCUUCACCCCCAAAUUUGACUUUCCCGGCACUUCCAGCCAUAUCUCAUGAUUCCAACACCCACAGAGUGAAACUGCAAAAUCUCACCGAAAAAGUUCGUUGGAAUCUGUGAAGCACUGCGGGCCGCCUCUAGAUUUUUCAGAAAUUAAGCCGAAAACUUCCAAGUUUUGGUGAGGAGCUUACAUUCUAACACUCGUGACCAACAUUCAAGCAUGAGGUGUGAAAUUCCAAGUCGCAAAUUUUUCGGAUCUUGUUUUUCAGCGUUCAAACUCCGGGAGCACCAACAAAAAGGCUACAUUCUUUCCUUCACCCUAUUUACAUUAGAUGCAUUAAAAAUAUGAUUACCAUUGAUAUUGCUUUGGAUUUUUCCUAGGAUAAUUAGUUAUGCCCGAAUUGUUGGAACCUUUGUAUUUAAUGUUAGAACUUUGAUUAGGAUAGAUAAAAUUUAGUUGACACGGUUUGAGAAUUGUUAGAAUUGUCUAAAAUUUGGGUGAGUUUGUUUGUUGAAAUAGGUUCGAUUUUAUUUAUACAUUGUCAUAUUAUUCUUCAGAGUGGUGAGAAAAAGGGAUUACCAUGUCGAGUGGGUUUUAUUUUGCUGGUCUAUAGGUAUAUUGGCAAGAACUCAAUCAAGAUUGAACAUCCAUGGUCAAACAGUUAACUUAAAUCUGAGAAAGAAAUUAAUAUGUGCAUCACGUAAGUCCACCAAAAAAUAGAAGCAAGGUGGAGGCGAUGGAAGCGAUCCUUCCCUCAUGAAUGCUUACAUUAACAAAUAUCACUCCAACCUUAGCAAACGGGAAAUCCGGCAAACAAAGUUCUAUCACAAAGAGUCAAUGAGAUGGCUCAGGGUGCAUGACGAUAUGGCAAAUUUGUUCCACAUAAUUAUUUGGUGUAGCUUUCUUAUUCUCAGUGAUAGAACCUACAUAGAACCAAUGAUGGAAUUUCUGUCCACCUUCGUCAGAGAUGAUGAAACGGAAAUCCUUACUCUUUGGCUACAAGGUCAAGAUCAUCGGCUCACGUACAAACGGCUAGAUUAUAUCAUGAGUAUCGGUCACAACAUCAACACCCAUAGUCGCUAGUACCUCGAUUUAUUGUGCUCCCUCGAUGAAUACUUUUGGGUACAAAUCAUUGGCAUCCAGUCAUUCAGUCUGAGUCGACAGAGGGCCAAUCAUAUUGUGCAUCCUUUUUGGUGGAUUGCACAUUACAUCCUCUAAACAAGCAUCUUUGGUCAUCUCGAGCCAGACCAAAUAAAUAGAUGUGGGAUCUUCUUCCUAUAUUGCAUGGCGGGAGUAUUUAACAACCCCGAUUUCUCCACAUUCUUUCUUGACAAAUGUGAUUCUGUCCAUCAACGGACCAUGGGAGAAAUUUAUGUCGAGGGGUUUAUCACCAUUAUAAGACAAGCCUUUGGCCUAGAGUUCCUCGCCUCCGAGUAUGUUUCCAUCGACAACCCGCCCAACUUCCUAGUAGAUCGUGACACUCUCAUACGAAUGAGGAUGCUACAUAGUCGGGGCGAUGAGACGUAUAGUUGGCUCAACAACAAUAAAGAUGUGGUUUACAUCCUUCCAAGCUGGGUUGGUGAUUCAUUCAUUCUAGGUGAUCCCCAUAAUUGGCUUCCCCCAGAGCAGUUGACCCUAGCGAGUGUAUUGACCGACUCUAAGGAUGAUGAGGAAGAGGAAGAUGAAGAUGAUGAUAAUGAGAUGCCCGAACCUGAUGACCAUUUUAACUUCUAUCCAUAGCUGCAACAGUCCCAGUAUUAGCAAGACCACUUUCAGGUCCCUCAACCACAUUAUUCCCAACCACAGUACUGGCCAGAGCAGCAACGGAGGACAUGAGGUUCCCACAUGAUUCUCCCCAACAUUCUUUAACCAGUUUGUCACUAUG
rnacentral:lncRNA from 1 species